rnacentral:pre_miRNA from 1 species
CUAUGCCUGGCUCCUUGUAUGCCAUUUGCAGUUUCGAUCAGACGGUGGUCGUAACUGCGUAUGGCGUGCCAGGAGCUAUGCAUAU